AAACUCGUAAAAAGGGACCACGGACAAGAGUGAAACACGCUUAAAUGUGCAAGGACCAAAUGGGAUAAUAUCCCUGGUCUCAAUGUGUUGCGUUUCAUUUCACUAAGCCAUGGAUCAAAUUGAAAAUAAAAUGGAAAUAGUGGGGCAAAUUCAAGAAGAGAAAAAGAAAAGGGACUAUAUUGAAGCACUCCGCAGAAAUGGAAACCCCAUAUGUGCAAAUAUCCCCAUAUGCAUCCAAAUCCAUGGCACUAACGGUGCCGUUUAGAACAUUACAAAACUAAAAAACAAAAACCCUAAAACUAAUCGUUCAUUCAUUCUUGAACAUAAAAAAAAAAAAGAAAAAAAAAACUCUCCUAAUUCCUCUCCAUUUGACCGACCGUCUGCCUCACACCAUUCCACCAUCAUAAUCGGUUUCUGGUGAUGAAAGAAGGCUCCUUUUAAACCCACUUAAAACCAAACCCGAAGGUCUCAGUAUUUAGUCCCAAAAUCCCCUCUUUGCUUCGAUUUCAGCGAAGAAGAAGAGUUCCGAAAGCACAAUUAAAAGGUGCUAGGCUCGGUCAACGGCGGAGGAUGCGCUGACAUCUCACGUGCGGGGGCAAACGGCGUCUCCGGAUAGGAAGCUGCUAGGGUUUCUAACUUUGGCUGAAAAUGUUUAAUUUUUGGGCCAACUUUGGGUCAUUGUAAUUGGGCUGUUGUUUGGGUGUAAGUGGGUUUAAGGUUAUUUAAUUUUGGUUUUGUAAAAAUGGAUUGUUUAUUAUCUUUAUUUUGUUUUCUGGUUUAUGAGCCCUGGGCAAAUCUGGGCUCUUACAGCAAGAUUAAAAAAAUAUGCUACAAGAGCAGACAAAAAUUUCUAAAA